UUCUCUCUCUCUAUCUCUCGCGAUUUCCUCUGGUUCCAUCAUAUCUUUAUUCGAUUUUCGUUUGAUUUAAGGUGCUUUAGGAUUUGUAUUUGCUGCGAAGUAGACUCAGGAAGAAUAUUUGAGGAAUCAUGAGAAGAUUUCAUCUAGGUACAAGUUAAUUUUAAAGGACUCUGCAUGCAAUGAUUCAAGAUUUGGUGGUGAUGACUUCCAGAAUCCAGGGUUCCGUCAUUCUACCUUUUUCCGAAUCAACGCUUAGGAACUACUGAGGGUGGUUAAGGUUCUGGUCGCGAAACCGACUCUGGUGGUCAUGAUCUGACGACAAUCAUUCUUCUUUGACGAAUCAGUGUUGUUUUACGCUCUUUGUCGCAUGGUGGAGGACUCAUCUAGCGUGGCAGUUCUUGAUACUGCAGCAGGAGUUUGGUGCGAUACAAAAUCUGUUGUGACGUCUCCAAGGACUGGUAGAUACAGUGCUGAUGCUGCUGGCGGAGAUGGCGCGGUUGAAUUAACAAGGCAGUGUAGGCACGCGGCUGCUGCUGUAGGGGAUUUAAUUUUCAUUUACGGUGGUUUACGCGGAGGUAAUUGUUUGAUCUAAAGUUAACCCCAUUCUCUUCUUUGUCUCAUUUUAACACUAUAGGAUGUAAAGGGACUUGGCGACACUUUGGCAGGGGCUUACCCAGAUUUCAAGUUGAUCAAAGAUCAAGACCACGAAACACGUUCGAGGUCCAGUUGCACCGUAAGCUUCUAUUGCUAGGAAAAUUUAUCUGAAGGGCGGUAUUGGUGUUGGUGCGUUCCAGAGAAUCUAUGGUGGGCGUAAGAGGAACGGUAGUGCUCCACCACAUUUCUGCAAAAGCAGUGGUGGUAUCAUUUGUCAUAUCCUUCAACAACCUUCAACACACAUUUUUGAAGUUUUUUAGUUUCGUGAAACUAGCUCAAGAUGGGAGAUUACUCGAUGUUUAAAUGAAGAUGACACAGAGUAAAUCUAUUUAUGAUGCUUGUGUUUAUGCGUAAACUUUUGUUUGAUGUUGUUACAGAGGGAGAAGAAUCACUUCAAAUGGUCAGCGGGACCUUGAUCAAGUGACUGGGCGGAUUGUUGUUGCUGUUUGAUUCCAGUCAUAUUUUUUAUGUUAUGUAGCUUAUACAUUUAGCAUGAAGGAACAAAUUU
rnacentral:lncRNA from 1 species